CUGGCGGCGUGCUUAAUACAUGCAAGUCGAGCGGGGAGUUAGCAAUAACUUCGAGUGGCGAACGGGUGAGUAACGCGUGGGUGACCUGCCCCGAAGUGUGGGAUAACAGCUCGAAAGGGCUGCUAAUACCGCAUGUGGCUUUCCGGACUAGAUGCCGGAAUCUCUAAAGCAGAAAUGCUCUUCGGGAGGGGCCUGCGUCCCAUCAGCUGGUUGGUAGGGUAACGGCCUACCAAGGCGACGACGGGUAGGGGACCUGAGAGGGUGACCCCCCACACUGGCACUGAAAACACGGGGCCAGACACCUACGGGUGGGCAGCAGUUAGGGAAUCUUGCACAAUGGGCGCAAGCCUGAUGCAGCAACGCCCGCGUGCGCGAUGAAAAGCCUUCAGGUUCGUAAAGCCGCCUUUUCUGGAAGACGAGAAGGGACGGUUCCUUCAGGAAAGAAGGCUUCGGCUAACUUACUUGCCA
rnacentral:rRNA from 1 species